GACGAACGCUGGCGGCGUGCUUAACACAUGCAAGUCGAACGGAAAGGCCCUGCUUUUGUGGGGUGCUCGAGUGGCGAACGGGUGAGUAACACGUGAGUAACCUGCCCUUGACUUUGGGAUAACUUCAGGAAACUGGGGCUAAUACCGGAUAGGAGCUCCUGCUGCAUGGUGGGGGUUGGAAAGUUUCGGCGGUUGGGGAUGGACUCGCGGCUUAUCAGCUUGUUGGUGGGGUAGUGGCUUACCAAGGCUUUGACGGGUAGCCGGCCUGAGAGGGUGACCGGCCACAUUGGGACUGAGAUACGGCCCAGACUCCUACGGGAGGCAGCAGUGGGGAAUAUUGCACAAUGGGCGGAAGCCUGAUGCAGCAACGCCGCGUGCGGGAUGACGGCCUUCGGGUUGUAAACCGCUUUCGCCUGUGACGAAGCGUGAGUGACGGUAAUGGGUAAAGAAGCACCGGCUAACUACGUGCCAGCAGCCGCGGUGAUACGUAGGGUGCGAGCGUUGUCCGGAUUUAUUGGGCGUAAAGGGCUCGUAGGUGGUUGAUCGCGUCGGAAGUGUAAUCUUGGGGCUUAACCCUGAGCGUGCUUUCGAUGCGGGUUGACUUGAGGAAGGUAGGGGAGAAUGGAAUUCCUGGUGGAGCGGUGGAACGCGCAGAUAUCAGGAGGAACACCAGUGGCGAAGGCGGUUCUCUGGGCCUUUCCUGACGCUGAGGAGCGAAAGCGUGGGGAGCGAACAGGCUUAGAUACCCUGGUAGUCCACGCUGUAAACGGUGGGUACUAGGUGUGGGGUCCAUUCCACGGGUUCCGUGCCGUAGCUAACGCUUUAAGUACCCCGCCUGGGGAGUACGGCCGCAAGGCUAAAACUCAAAGGAAUUGACGGGGCCCCGCACAAGCGGCGGAGCAUGCGGAUUAAUUCGAUGCAACGCGUAGAACCUUACCUGGGUUUGACAUGGAUCGGGAGUGCUCAGAGAUGGGUGUGCCUCUUUUGGGGUCGGUUCACAGGUGGUGCAUGGCUGUCGUCAGCUCGUGUCGUGAGAUGUUGGGUUAAGUCCCGCAACGAGCGCAACCCUUGUUCACUGUUGCCAGCACGUUAUGGUGGGGACUCAGUGGAGACCGCCGGGGUCAACUCGGAGGAAGGUGGGGAUGACGUCAAGUCAUCAUGCCCCUUAUGUCCAGGGCUUCACGCAUGCUACAAUGGCUGGUACAGAGAGUGGCGAGCCUGUGAGGGUGAGCGAAUCUCGGAAAGCCGGUCUCAGUUCGGAUUGGGGUCUGCAACUCGACCUCAUGAAGUCGGAGUCGCUAGUAAUCGCAGAUCAGCAACGCUGCGGUGAAUACGUUCCCGGG
rnacentral:rRNA from 1 species